rnacentral:rRNA from 1 species
GGCGGUAGGCUAACACAUGCAAGUCGAGCGGUAACAGGCAUUUUGAUUCAGCUUGCUGAAUCUCGCGCUGACGAGCGGCGGACGGGUGAGUAACGCGUAGGAAUCUACCUAGUAGAAGGGGAUAGCCCGGGGAAACUCGGAUUAAUACCGUAUACGUCCUUAGGGGGAAAGAGGGCUUAGCUUUGAUGCUCUCGCUAUUAGAUGAGCCUGCGUAAGAUUAGCUUGUUGGUGAGGUAAAGGCUCACCAAGGCUACGAUCUUUAGCUGGUCUGAGAGGACGAUCAGCCACAUUGGGACUGAGACACGGCCCAGACUCCUACGGGAGGCAGCAGUGGGGAAUAUUGGACAAUGGGCGCAAGCCUGAUCCAGCCAUACCGCGUGUGUGAAGAAGGCCUUCGGGUUGUAAAGCACUUUAAGUAAGGAAGAAAAGUAUAUUGUUAAUACCAAUGUACCGUGACAUUACUUACAGAAUAAGGACCGGCUAAUUCCGUGCCAGCAGCCGCGGUAAUACGGAAGGUCCAAGCGUUAAUCGGAAUUACUGGGCGUAAAGCGCGCGUAGGUGGUUUAUUAAGUUGGGUGUGAAAGCCCCGGGCUCAACCUGG